UGCUUCCCUCUUUCUCCCCCUGCCGAACCCGACGCCUUGCCCUAACCCAUGCGACACGGACGGUUCUUCAUCCCCGAACGCCCUCACCCCCUCUACCACCGGCAACGAGAGCCACCUCUCCUCUACUCUGUGCAGCGCCGACGCCGACGCUGAUCGUCGAUGUCGUGCCCUAGCCGAAGCCCACCGCCACGACCCGAUCACCGACGGCUAACAUCUCUGACACUUGCUCGCAGCCUUCUGUGCCCUAGCCCUAGACCCGAUUUCCUUCCUCCUCUGGCCGUACGAGCACAAGGGAUGCAGAUCCCUUGCCGGCAGGGCACCAUCUGUCCUCUGCCCUAGUGUCGGCGGACGACCGCCUCCUUUGCUGCGAUUUGGCAGCAUUCCAACCGAGCUCUAGUUCUCCUUUGUGUGCCACUGCCGAGUGUGAGUUUGCUUCUCCCCUUUGUUCUCAGCGUCACUCCUCCUGAUGCUAUGCUGCUGUUGCCGGGAGUAUUCGACUUUUGGUUACAAAAUUGUAAAGGAGUUGCUUGAUUCCACACUGUUAACUAGAAUUCAGCAUCGACGGAUCAUGGAUCAUCACCGACGAUUGUAGAAGAGCUGAUCAGGGGCUGUUGUGUGAUCCGACCAGCAAGCAUGUGGGAGGAUUUGCUGUGGUUUCAGCCAUGAGUUUCCAGCAGCAUACAGUUGCAGGUCUUCAAUUGUGGAUCAACAACAAUCCAUCUGUUGAGGACUUUGUUUGAGACGGUGUCUCGACGAGGGAUCUAUUUCGGAUUGGACCUUUCUAUUGG